CCACCGGCUGUACUGACAGCCCCAAACUUAUUUUAAAUAUAUUCUU
rfam:Columba livia unplaced genomic scaffold scaffold36, whole genome shotgun sequence.